rnacentral:rRNA from 1 species
UGGGGAAUAUUGGACAAUGGGCGAAAGCCUGAUCCAGCCAUGCCGCGUGUGUGAAGAAGGUCUUCGGAUUGUAAAGCACUUUAAGUUGGGAGGAAGGGCAUUAACCUAAUACGUUAGUGUUUUGACGUUACCGACAGAAUAAGCACCGGCUAACUCUGUGCCAGCAGCCGCGGUAAUACAGAGGGUGCAAGAGAUAAUCGGAAUUACUGGGCGUAAAGCGCGCGUAGGUGGUUUGUUAAGUUGGAUGUGAAAUCCCCGGGCUCAACCUGGGAACUGCAUUCAAAACUGACUGACUAGAGUAUGGUAGAGGGUGGUGGAAUUUCCUGUGUAGCGGUGAAAUGCGUAGAUAUAGGAAGGAACACCAGUGGCGAAGGCGACCACCUGGACUAAUACUGACACUGAGGUGCGAAAGCGUGGGGAGCAAACA